AGUGAACGCUGGCGGUAGGCCUAACACAUGCCAGUCGAACGGAAGCACAGUAAGAGCUUGCUCUUACGGGUGGCGAGUGGCGGACGGGUGAGGAAUACAUCAGAAUCUACUUUUUCGUGGGGGAUAACGUAGGGAAACUUACGCUAAUACCGAAUACGUCCUACGGGUGAAAGCAGGGGAUAUUCGGAUCUUGCGCGAUUGAAUGAGCCGAUGCCGGAUUAGCUAGUUGGCGGGGUAAAGGCCCACCAAGGCGACGAUCCGUAGCUGGUCUGAGAGGAUGAUCAGCCACACUGGAACUGAGACACGGUCCAGACUCCUACGGGAGGCAGCAGUGGGGAAUAUUGGACAAUGGGCGCAAGCCUGAUCCAGCCAUACCGCGUGAGUGAAGAAGGCCUUCGGGUUGUAAAGCCCUUUUGUUGGGAAAGAAAAGCAGCAGGUUAAUACCCCGCUGUUCUGACGGUACCCAAAGAAUAAGCACCGGCUAACUUCGUG
rnacentral:rRNA from 1 species